rnacentral:rRNA from 1 species
AAUAGAUACCCAGGUAGUCCACGCCCUAAACGAUGCUCACUAGGUGUUGGGGAAGCGAUUCCUUGGUACCGUAGCUAACGCGUGAAGUGAGCCGCCUGGGGAGUACGGCCGCAAGGUUAAAACUCAAAGGAAUUGACGGGGACCCGCACAAGCGGUGGAUGAUGUGGAUUAAUUCGAUGCAACGCGAACAACCUUACCUACCCUUGACAUGUCCGGAAGCCUGCUGAAAGGUGGGUGUGCUCGAAAGAGAACCGGAACACAGGUGCUGUAUGGCUGUCGUCAGCUCGUGUCGUGAGAUGUUGGGUUAAGUCCCGCAACGAGCGCAACCCUUGUCCCUAGUUGCUACGCAAGGGCACUCUAGGGAGACUGCCGGUGACAAACCGGAGGAAGGUGGGGAUGACGUCAAGUCCUCAUGGCCCUUAUGGGUAGGGCUUCACACGUCAUACAAUGGACGGUACAGAGGGUUGCCAACCCGGCGAGGGGGAGCCAAUCCCAGAAAGCCGUUCGUAGUCCGGAUCGCAGUCUGCAACUCGACUGCGUG